rnacentral:tRNA from 1 species
UGGGCUGUGGUUUAUGAAAAAAUCUGGGCUUUGGGAGUCCAAGAAGCCCAAUGGGCUGGCUCAA